rnacentral:misc_RNA from 1 species
GAUGAAGAACGUAGUGAAAUGCGAUAAGUAGUGUGAAUUGCAGAAUCCCGUGAACCAUCGAGUCUUUGAACGCAAGUUGCGCCCGAAGCCAUUAGGCCGAGGGCACGCCUGCCUGGGCGUCACACGUCGUUGCCCCCCCAUCUACUCCUUCGGGAUUGCGGGGGGCGGAUGAUGGCCUCCCGUGCGCCUCGUCGCGCGGUUGGCAUAAAUGCCAAGUCCUCGGCGACGCACGCCACGACAAUCGGUGGUUGCGAAACCUCGGUUGCCCGUCGUGUGCGGUCGUCGCGCAUCGAGGGCUCGAAAAAAUUGUCGGGCUCCGGCUCGGCUUUCAACGCGACCCCAGGUCAGGCGGGGUUACCCGCUGAAUUUAAGCAUAUCAAUAAGCGGAGGA